rnacentral:lncRNA from 10 species
GGGGAAUAGUACUUUAGAGGUGUGUCAGCAGCUAAUUAGUCAAAAUAUGUUUUUUUCUGGAAGUUUAAUAUGAUUAGCUUUUCAUUAAUUGGAUUAUCAAAUAGUCCGUGAGCCCAUGUAUUUCUUCUACUUGUAAUUAUAGGAAGGAGAUGGGCUGGAAACAUGGCACCACUACCUGUCCUGGGGGUCCAGGCUGUGCACCUGCCUCCAGGGAGCCCCAGGAGCUUCAGAUGCUUCCUAGGAGGAGAGGCUGGGAGGAGGAGGUAGCAAAGCUCUUGAAAGUGAUUGACAGUGGGGGCAACCCAUCUCUACACCAAGUCACAUUGAUUCCACAAAGGCCUUAACAUAAAUUGAAAGAAAACACUAGAAUGCAGACAUCCUGUUUAUUGAAUAUUAUAUUUCUUAGGAUCUUGGAUCAUUUGUAUUUUUUAUCACACAGUGGACCAUAACAACUAUUUCCCCAGAUGUGAUAUUGUUGAUUUUUCUAAUCUAAAAGCAUUAGAUCAUAAAUAAUUGGUAUGACUUUCCACAGAACGCCAGCUGUGCCGCUCCUGAUAUCUGGGUGUCUCUGAAAAUCCAGGGUCCAUGGGAACAAAUGUCUUUACAUUGGCUCAAAAACCCACAAUGAAAAGCCAGAGCGCUUCAGCCCUCUGCGUUCAUCCGAUAACACGCCCAAUGGGAACGGAUGCAGAGACUGGGGAGAGGCAAAGGGGACUCCGCCCAUUUCUGAAGGUCCCACCGGGCACACUCUGUGUUUUCUGUGGGCACCAUGGCUCAUGCUGUGGUCAGGGUACAUUUUCUGAAAUGUGUAUGAUGCACCCAGCAUAGCGCUGGGCUCUGUGCAGAAGCUGUUUCAUUUACUCUUCACAAAAGAGUGGCUGAGAGGCAGAGGCCAGAGGACCCACCAGGUUCACAGUUCAGGUGACUUCUGGUCUUGCCCACUGGAAGCGGAGAUGGCUCACAGCAUUCCUUGUACAUAGACUUUCUCCCUGGCAGGCACACAGCUCUGUUCCAUGUCACCUGGGUCCCUCUUGCCGUUGUCUUUCAAAGGGCAGUUGAGAUGGGAAAUUCUGGCUCUGAGCCCACCAAUCACGGCCCCACCAAAAUGAACAUUUCCGGUUCCAGAAGCAGGAGGCCUCUGGGAAAGGGCGUGGGGUGAAGGGGGGACCCAAUGGAGGGCCGAGCCCAGCAGUGGAAGGCUGCGAUCCAAGGCUGUUUCCAGAUUCCACCUCCAGGACUGACCAGGCAGAAAGACUCCAGGUCCCCAGACUGUAUUUGGUGAAAUUCCUAAAACCCAGGGGGAAUUGUGUAAAGCAACUCUCACAUUCACUUGUUUUUUUAAGCAUUAUAUCAGAAGACAUUCUUACAAGAUGAAUAUGCUGAAAUCAUUUCCAGAAAAGUUUGAUUUCCUUCUGCUAACCACUCCUCAUCCCUAGAGAAAGUGAAUAUUUCUCUUAGUAUGAAGGGCAAGCAUGUUAAUGCUGCCUCAGAUAGGAGCUGGUUCAGGCCUCCCAAUGCUUAGCAUUGAAAAACUCAGGUUUAAGUUGAGUUUGGCAUUUGAGUAAAUCCUUGCCUAUGCAAGAUACUUCAUGAACGUUACACUUACCAGUCCUUUUCCCAGGGGUAGGGUAAGAGAGAUUAAAAAGUCUGCAGUAACGGUGUCUUAUGAGCAAGCUAGUUGAUUUAUAAGCAGUAAGCUGCACACGCUGUUGUGCACCACCUAUGCAUCCUGUGCAGUGAGCUGGUGAAAUCUGACGAAUCAAGCUGGGGCAGGUGAGCGUUGUGCUACCAUCGUGGUGCUUGGAAAACACCCCAGAAUAGAAACAGAAAUUUCCGCAGUUUCUAAAACAAUAUCACGUUGCAUAGAUUCCAGACUCAUGCUUUUGUUUUUCUAGUGAGAAAGGGAAGCAUGAAGGUUGCUUUCUUCGUUCUCUGCACAGGUGAUGAACAAGGCACGUCUUCGCCGUGGAUUCUGCCUGCACAGAAGACCUGAGAUGCGCGAUGUCAGGCCCGUCCCUAACAGGAGGAAAUCUCUCCAUGUCGCCUUCAUUUAGGAUUUUUUUAAAUUAUAGGUUGUGAAGUCCUCACCCUACUCUGCGGAAAUGAGCAGAAAAUUGUC